GUCUCUCCCUGCUUGCUCCAGUUGUUGAUGUAUUGCCUCUCGGUUCCAAGCGCACCCACCCUUUUUUGUCUUGCUUUGUCCUCCUGAAGCCGAACUCUGCGCCUUGCAUUUCUCCUUAAUGGCCGCCUGCCUGGUACACUCUACCAAUAGAGGGCGCCGUGAAGCGGGAGGUAGAAGAAGGUGCGCUCCGUUCUGUUUCCCCAACAGUUGCUAGCAAAUCCGGGUGCAGAGGAUCCCAGCAGUUUUCCCUGCAGUGGUGGCAGCUCUCAGUGUCCUGGGGUGCUUGAUAGGAUUGACCCCAUGACCAGACCCUGCCAAUGAAUUGUGAGAGGAAAUGAGAGUGUUACUUUUGGGCACAAUGAUGAGUUGCUAGAAUGGGACACUCCUGAAUGCUCUCUUCCUGUGCCACAAGGAGCAGCCAUGUUCCAGGUGAUGGCCGCUCUGCCAGUGUAGAUCCUGCAGAGAUGACAUGGGGUAGAUCCCCCAGUUGACUCAUGAGAGACCAAGCAAGAAAUACAGAUUUGUUGUGUUAAUCCACUGAGAUUGUGGGGGGUCACCAUGAAGCACAACCGAUCCUUUCUUGGCACAAAGAUCAGACAUGAGAAUCACGUGCAAUUAUAAACAUUGGAUGGAGAGGUUCUGACAACAUUAAAGCACUCUAUCCAAAGAAGGAAUUAGCAUCCCUGAAUUAGCAGGUUUGGGAGUGAUACACUCCUGUCUCAACUGGAACAGUCCAAGAGGUAGCUUCCUGCAACAUCUCCAGCUCUGAUUCCUGCUCAAGGUUAUGCUCCUGAUGGUUGCGCUGCUGGAAAGAUGAGACAAACCACCUGGGGUUGAAAGUGCUUCAGAGCCGCCAAGGAUGGGAUGGGCUUUCCAAAUGGCUUCUUCAGUUGAGCUGAAGGCCCAGAAUGUAAUGUUUGUUUAUGUGCCAUGCCAGUUUAGACUGUCCUGAAAGUGUGUGUAUGUGUAUAUGAGGGUGUGAGAGAGAAUACACACAUGCGUUUAACUUGCAGAAUGUGUAUCAUUCUAGACAUUCUGGAAAAUAAUUGCUCUUGAUAAGGACAAAUGCAGUCACCAUUUCCUAUUUUCACUGAAAGCUGGGAGAGAAAAGCAAUGGCUUGAGUCAUCGAACGGGGGUUUCAGAUUAGAUAUGAGGGGAAAUUUCUUUUUCAGGUGAAUUUGAUAAAUCCUGGAAUGGAUUAUCAGGGGGGAAUUUUGAAGCCUCUUUCUCUGGGAGCUUUUGAAAAUAGGAUAAAUGCUCAUGUGCCUGAGAUAGUGGAAGCCUGAUCCUAUCUGGAGAUGGCAUGAUGGAUUGGCUUCUGGGUAGCGGCAGAGGAGAAAGGAGCCUCCUUUCUCCUGAGGUCUACUGACCGAGUUUCACGUUUCAGAGCAUUUCAGCAUUACUGAUUUUCUCUGAUUGAAAAGCCACAAGUGUUCAUUAUUUGAAAUUCGGAGAUUACAUAAAAAUAUGAAAAACUAAAAAUCAAACAAAAUUCUGUAAUCCAAAAAUAACCCAAAUUAUAUAUAUGUGUGUAUAUAUAUAUGUACAUAUAUAUGUGUAUAUACAUAUAUACACAUAUAUGUAUAUGGUCUCAAAAAAUUGUAUAGUCUUUUAUAUAGUCUCAAAAAAAUUGUAUCACAUACUACAUGGUUCUGUAAUCUAGCUUUUGUACUUAGGAUAUCGUGGACUCCUUUCCAUGUCAGUAAAUACCAUUUUACAUCAUGUAGCAUGUAGCUGUAUCAUGGAUCAUGUACAUGUCUCCAUGUAGCUUGACUUAUAUAAUCAGUUCUCUACUGUGGAGUUUAGGUUGUUUUCCCUGGAAAUCCUUGCACAUAUAUCCUUGUGAAUUGUCUAGUUAUUGCUUCAAAAUAGAUACCUGGGAGUAAAAUAGCUGAGUUAAGGGUCUGCCGGUUUAAAAUUGUCCUACCUAUUGCUAGGUUUCCCUCUAGAGAGGUCAUACCACUUUAAAUUUCCAUCAGUGAUGCUUGAGAGAGUCUAUUUCCCCCUUUUCUAAAUAACACGGGCUACUCUCAAUAUCUUAAUAUACAUUUCUUUGAGUCUUAGAGAGGCUGAGGUUUUCAACGUUUUCAAGCAUUUAUAUUUUUCUUAUUUGCCUUUUGUGUCCUUUAUCCAUUGUUUUUAAAGAGGGCAUUUGGUAAGUAGAUAGAUACAUACAUACAUAUAUGCAUACACAUACACAUAUGUAUGUACAGAUUCUAUCUGCAUCUUUGUGUAUCAUUUUCCAAGUCGCCUUUUAACUGCGCUGAUUAUGGAUAUGCUGUACAGAGUCUGCUACAUAGAUAAUUCUUUGGGAUACGUUAGUUAUAACUAGAAUAACAAUGGAUUUCUGGAAUCCUGGCCAUACCUGUGUCACCUGUUUCUGGACCAGUUGAGGUCUCAAGUCACCAAGGAGAGUGGGGCCGAGAGUGUGGGUAGCUAGGUAAGGGUGUAUAUACGUGGCCAGUGCAUAUUUUAUGGAGUCAGGUCAAGGGUUCCCUGUCACUGAAUGAAGUCACAGCCAGGGGGCUUGAUGGCAGAACAUGAACCAAGCCUUCAGCACGUGGAGUACGUGAUGGUGGGCAGAGCGGGAGAUGAGGGGCCGAGGGAAGGAAGGGAAGAUGGUCCCUCAGGGCCAGUCAGUCUGCUCCCCUCCAUCUAAAAGCAGCAGCAUCUCCCCCUUCUCCGUACCCCACCUCCUCUCCCUAUCCCCACAAAGUACACACGCUAAGAGGCUACACUAACCAGGCCUGUUGUUGAUUCUCUCCUUUCUCUUGCUCUGGGCCAAGCAGAGGGGGGACAUGAACACUUUUCAUCCUUAGUGAUGUAGGGCAAGGAUGGGCUAACUGCACAUGGGCAAGGUAGACAGAGGGGGGAAGGAACAGGGCAGUCCCCCUGGGGUGGAGCUGCUUCUGGGGUGAAGGACCCAGCGGCUGGUGUAGUGGAAAUAGAACUUGCCGUCAGGUUUUAUCACAGAGAUGGAGCUAGAAAGAGGACCACAUCCUAAUUCUUCUGACUUGUCUCUGCUCAUCCCUUGUUAUUUUAGUUGUUUCGGGCUGCAAGUUUUGUGAGUUGACAACAGUAUCUUGUUCAUUUCACUCAGAGUAAAAUCCAUAUUCCUAACCUGGCCUGUAAGUCCCUUUACAUCUUACCUCCGCCACCUCUCCUACCCCAUUUCUUAUCCCAUUCCUCAGAUCAUUUUAGUCCACUUGCUCCUUGAACAACUCAAGUGCAUCCGUGCCCCAGGGCUAUUGCACUUGUGUUCACUUUGCUUAUAACGCCCUUUCCCCACACGUUCACAUAGCUUACCCCCUCCUUCCUUCAGGUCUCUGCUCCAGUGUCACCUUAUCUUAGUGGCAUGUGGAUGUCUUUGGCAGCACUGCAUCCGGGAAGUCUAUCUCAGAGAGCAGGUUCCUGACAUGGACCCCAGGCUGGGGCAGGGCUGACUGCCAGGACGUGAAGCCAAUUUUGGCAGAGUCCAGGUCCAAGCCGCUUACCAGGGCAGGGAGUUGACACAAGGGACCCAGGUGAGGAUUCAGUAACUGGAACUGGAUUCCUUCUAGGCCUACCUGUCCAGUGCUGAGCCAGUCCCACCCACAAGCAGCAUCUGUCUGCCUCCAGCCUCUUUCUGGGCUCAUGCCCAGAGCCCCACCACCCUAUCAUCCCAACCUGCUCCCAUGCCCCUCAUUCCUUAUGCCUUCCUACCCUGUCCCCUUCCUUCCUGAGACCCAUAUCCCUCCUCAUCCCAUUCUGGAGAAAUCUCCUUUCCCCUCCAGGUGUAUUGUGGGUCCAGAACCCACAUUAAGGGGUGGGCAUUGUCAGCUGCUGCUGUUUUAGGAAGUCCACCAGUUCAAUAUUUCCAGAACGUUAUUCAGUCAAGCCUUGGAUAUGCUAAUGUGAGCCUGUGUCUUCCGCUUGGGAGCUCACUAGUCAACCAAGGAAGGAUUUUACGGAGAGCUGCAAAUCUCUAAGUACUAAAGCUCACUGGGUGUGACAAGUCCAUUUGGGAGAUUAGGAAGGGAAGCUAGGGAGAGAGAAGCUUAGGCAUUAUCCAUCUGCCAGGCUGACAGAGGCAUCUCCUCCCAACCAAGAGAGGAAGAGAGUGGUAUCCAAGAAAGAUGGAGACAAGGCUUAUAUACACACACGGUUUGGAUGUCUUGGCUAAAAAACUCAUCCAUUGUCUAAACAGCUGAUAGAACUAAUGCUAGGCCCUACACCAAACGUUUCUAUUCAUUUAGUCUAAGGGUGGGCCUGGUAAGUUUUUUUUGUUUGUUUUUUUUUUAAGAUUCCCAGGUAACUACUGGUUUCACUUUGCUACUUGAUUGUCCUCUGUGUCCCAGACAUUGUGGUGGCGUGGGGGGUACAAGAUGAGGUCUUUACGGGCCCUGAUGGAAUGGAUCAAUCAAUGCAAUCAAAAUGCCUAGGCUAAUAGUGUGUGACAGCCUUUUCAAUAGGAGAUCAAGAUAAUUGCUUUAAAGGGGGACAAUUUAACCCAUCAACAGGAUGUUAUGUCUACCCAAUGUGAGAUAAUCAGAUUGAUUUUCCUGAAUUGAUGCAAUUAAAUUCAUAUUGUUGUUUUUGUACCAUAUAGAGACAGCCAAGCACAUCAUCUCUUCAAGUGGAAUCUAGGUACCACCUGUUUUGGGAAGGUUGUCUAAAUAGAAAUUCCCGAACCCCCACCCAGAGCUCCCUGAUCAGAAUCUCUGGUUCCCAGGUUUUUCUUAGGCAGUGGUUCCCAACCUUGUCUGCACAUUCGAGUUAAAUUUUUUUUUCAUGUUUAUUUAUUUUUGAGAGAAAAAGAGUGUGAAUAAGGGAGGGGGAGGGGCAGAGAGAGAGAGAGGGAGACCCAGAAUCCAAGGCAGGCUCCAGGCUCUGAGCUGUCAGCACAAAGCCCAACAUGGGGCUCAAACUCACAAACUGUGAGAUCAUGACCUGAGCCGAAGUCGGAGGCUUAACCAACUGAGCCACCCUGGUGCCCCAACCUGGGGAACUUUUAAACAGUCCCGGCUGCACCCCGCCCCCUCCCAGACUAAUUAAAUUAGAAGCUCCAGGUGGAAGAGUCAGGGAGAGAAUGCAGGCAUCCGUGUUUUAAAGUUUUCCAGGUGGUUCCAAUGAGCAGCCAAGAUUAAGAAGUGGAGUUAAGUGGCGUGGGAGGACGCAGGCAUCAGGAUCUUUCAGAAGCUCCCGUGGGAUUGCUAAUAGAAACUACAGAGCAUGCCCUCGGAGCAGAUGUCUUCCACACAAAGAGCACGUGAGCCUCCUUCCCGAGAUCCUGGAUUUGUUUGUGGUCUUGUGGUUGACGGUGAGCUCUGGUCCAAGGAAGAACUGUGGAGAGGUUACCAGAACUGUGUCUGUAUCUAACACAACAGUCAGAAAGUCUGCACUGCCCAACUCCUCAGGCCCUAACAUUUUUCUUGGUUGUUCUCUUGGCCUUCUUGUGGCCACACUGGGCUUGGCUGCCGGGCCCUCCGACACCCCUGAGUUUGCCUCUUGGGUCUUCCCGUCUUAUCUUCUUCUCUUGGGCUGGCACGCAGGGGCGUCUGUUUCAUGCAUCCAAACUGGCCAGUUAGAACGGGAGGCAACCGCAGUUCUAGGUGUCCAACCCCUCCCUUCUAGAUGUAUUAAACACUGCAGAUGAGUUGCUUUGUGCCAUGGCUGAAGUGAAAUAUACACGCCAGCAGCCAGGCAGUCAAGUUGGCAUAAACCAGGCUUGUUUAUUUUUUGUCGUUUUUUUUUUUUCCUUUGUGGUUUGAAUGCCACCCUCCUGGAGCUGGGAAAGGAUAUUGGCUCACAGGAAAUCCCACAUAUUGUUACUCACCAAGUUUGAGAAAACUUUUAGUUUUUACUAUUUGCUGCCAAGUACGGAAGGGUUGUUCUAAACCCUGGCUGCACACAUUAGAUGCACCUGAGGAGUUAUGAAAACAGUGCUGGGUCCCACUCAGGCCGAUUAAAUGGGGAGGUCUGGGAGUGCAGACCAGGCCUGGGACUUGUUCAAAUGUUUGUAAAUUAGUGUGCAGCCCACGUUGAAGAUGACUGAUCCAGGAGAGGGAGAAGAUUGUGGAUCCAGAAAACUAGUAUUUUCUAGGUGCUAGGCAACUUCUCUAGUUGUAGCUGAUAUUGAGCGCUUACUAUGUGUAAGGUGCUGUUUUAAGAGUUUUAUAUCUAUUGACUGGUAUUUCUAACAGUCUUCUGAGGAAUUACCUCCAUGUUUCAAUGCAGAAACUGAGGCUCAGAGCACUCACAGAGCUCGCAAGUGAUACCGCUCAGCCUCAAAUCAAGGCAGUGUGGUUUCAGAACUCAGGCUCUUUACUGCUACAUUUGACUACCUCCCAAUAACCCUGGCCAUUAGGAAUGGAGGAAGUAACUCAGAAACCCCUUAACACAACAAAAGAUGAUUUCUUAUUCCUGCUAUCCAUUCUGGGAGGGGGCAUGAGGAGAUGGGAGUAGGGGGAAUGGGAGGUGAGUGUUCCGCUCCACAAAGUCACUCAGGGACCCAGCUGAAAGAGGUUUCACCAUCUUGUAACCUGUACCAUCUGAAAAGCGGCCCUCUCAAACCCUUAAGCCAGGGAAGAGAGAGAUGCGAUGAUCACACAUGGGUUUUCACUUCAGCCAGAAGUAGCACGUGCAUUUCCACUCACACUUCAUGGUCCUAUGACCUGCCCAGCUGCUAAGUGGGUGGACAGUGUAGGGGAGCAAAUGGAAUGCUUGGUAGCAUUAAUUUCUGUGCCACAUUCUGGGAGAUGGCUCUUGUGCCUGGUUCAAGAAGCAAAUGCAGAGAGAUUAAGAAACGUGCCUAAAGAGACACAAAAUGUAGAGUUGGGCCUCACGCCCAGGUGAUCUCACGUGAAUUCUUGUGCUUGUUUUCUACCCCAUCAGUGACUAACCGUAUGCGUCUGGAGGGAUAUCUCUAUAUCACUUAGCAUUUAUCCUUGAGGCCAUCUAGCAGAUGCUAAACACCGCCACCGAACCGUAAGGUAACACUAUAAAUUUCUUGGUUGUAAAUAUAGGUAAUUGUGCUAUUUUUUUGAGGUAUGCUCAUUAAAUCACCAGGUGAAGUGCCUAAUGCCAUCCUGGGAAUAGAAAGGAUCGUGUUUGGUGCCUAAAAAUAAGACGGAUUCACCGUGGGGUGCUAAUGUAUGUAGCUACAAGAAAAGCAGCCACCGGGAGGCACAGCUCCUGUAUAUGCAAGAGAAGAGACCACAUUCACACUGUUAAUGGCAGCUUUUCACGGCCUCUGGAGCGCUGCCAUCCCAAACUGCUCCAGGUAUAGAGGUGACGGGUUAGAGGAAAGUGUUCUUUUCUCCCUCUCUCUGUGAUCCUCCCGCCGUGCUCACUAACCCACAGCACCAACAGGAGUAUGGAAUCCACUAAACUGAAGACUCCACAACUGUAACCUGAAACUUGGCCAGUGAUGGAAUCUCUCACCUCAUCCAAUUGCUUGGGGUCUAUUGUUCUGGUAAUUAUAUCUUAAAAUGUUGGACAUUUUCCAAAAGGCCAGCCAGCACUGUGAGAAAGAAGAGUAUGUCCUGGGGUGGGUAGCACUGGUUAUAUUUGACUUGACACGAGCUGCUUUGUCCCUGGCUGCCAGCAGUAACCCCCAUCCCUAGGACCCGGAGGCCCCAGUCGUCCUGCGCCUCUGGGAAGGAGACAAAGGCAGGAAUGUCUGUGGCAGCAGGCUGAACCCAAGUGUGUGUAUGUAUGUGGAGGCAGGCAGGAUGGUCUCAGAGUUCGGGUUCUUAGACAAUCAAGAGAAAGGAAAAAGAAGGCUUUGAAGGGAAAAAGCGUUAUUGACAAGAGGUAACCAAUUGAUCCUUCCAGCAUGUUUUUCUUCUUGACUCUAGAAGUCCCAGUGCUAGUCAGACUGGGGUUACCUUCCCAGCAAGAUCGGCCCCACACUCUGGCUAUGGUUUUACAGGGUUCUGGGCCCCAAACUGAGCUGGCCACUGAAAACACCUAGGGAACCUAAAAGGCAUUAUUCAAGUCCCUGCUCCUAAGCUACUGAAACAGUCUGGGCCCCUGGAAAUAAUAUUUUACAUUAAACAUCCUUGGGUGUUUCUAAUAGCCAGGCAGGUUCUGGAGUUCAUGCCAUCCCCCAUUUGGGAACAUGUUGAACAGAAGCCUUAGUAAAUUAGUAAAAAUUAAAAAAAUAUAUGUUACUAAAAACAGGAAAACAAAACGCACCAGCACCCCUACCACCCAGAGUUAUACUGCCAACACUUGGUGUACAGAACCACUUCCUGCCAGAUAGAUAGAUUCCCUGUCUCUGUUUUGGACAGGCUGGUGGCACCACCAUUUUGCCAUCUGUCCACCUGUGGCCUCACUGAGUGAUGCACCAGCAGAACAGGUACCUUGUCCCUUCUGCAAUGUAGGUUUGAGGCUCAGGGCCCCUCUGAAAAGCUGAGCUGGGGUCAGCAGGUUGAUGGGGUUAAAGAAAGCCUGUGCACCAUGGAUUUGCUUUGGUGGCACUGUGCCACCAGCUGCCAGAACCCCUGCCACAUUAGCAGCACCACAGCCACUGGCACCAGCUUAGAAUCACUGUGUCCAACCUGGCAGAGACCGCCUGGUGGCCAUCUUAUAAACCAGGGAACCAAAGUUCAGGAAAGUUCUGUGAAGCCCAGCUAGCUACCUUCCUGGCUAUGUGUUCUAAUAUCCCUGAAAUGUAACUAUGGUUCUGGCAAAGGAAGCAGGUGACUCCUAAGGGACGUGAUUAAUGAAUGGGCUACCAAAACUGGUUGGGCAAAGCUCAGCUUAAGUUUGUGUUAAAUCCUUUAUGACUCUGGCUCACCUAUUUGUAGAACUUAACUGUGGCUUAGUGGGGAGAAAUUCAUCCAAUGGACCCAACAAGGGUUGUAUUCCUACAUUUGUGUGUGUGUGUGAAAAUACUCCCACAUAUCCCUUCUUCCCUUUUUUUUAACGUUUUUUAUCUUGAGAGAGAGAGAGAGAGCACAUGCGCAAGUGAGCGAGCUCAUGGGGGAGGGGCAGAGAGAAAGGGAGAGAGAGAAUCCCAAGCAGGCUUCACGCUUUCAGCCCAGAGCCUGAUGUGGGGCUCGAACCCACAAACCAUGAGAUCAUGACCUGAGCAGAAUCCAGAGUGAGGUACUUAACCAACUGAGCCACCCAGGUGCCCUUCUUCUUCCUUUUCUUACUAUCUUCCUGUGCAGUGUGAUUGGUUAGGUUUGACUGAGCCAGCAUUUGUGAUUCUAGAGUAUCUUCAUAGCCAUUUAAGUAGAUUUACUUGUAAAAAAAAUUUAUGGGGCACUGUAGAGGUUGGAAAACUUUUUCUUAAAGUCAUACACUAAAGAUUUUAGGUUUUAUGAGCUGUGGGGUCUCUGUUGCAACUUCUCAACUUUGUAGUUGUCACACAAAAGCAGCCACAGGCAAUAUGCUAAUGACUGCACAUGACUGUGUUCCAAUAAAACUUUAUUUACAAAAAUAGGGGUCCAGCCUGCCAAAGUUCUAUUCUCUUGAAUAAUUACAGCCUAUCUAAAAAGUCUUAAUUAUUUGAUGACAUGCCAGAAGAGAAAUCACUGAAUCUUUAGACUGUGUGGCCAGAUCUAUUCAUCAAAAAAAGUUCGCUUUGUUCUGAAAACUCUGCUUUUUCUGCUUUCUGCCAGAGCAAUGUUCUUGCCAAACAUAUGUGUCAGUGACUCCAUGUGAAUAUAUUCAUAGUGGAGAACUUUUUAAGCUCAGGCUCCACAGAGUUCAGGGGUCUCUCCAUGACAUUAAAGCAGAGGAAGGAUGUGAUAUCAACCACCAGCGCUAAAAUUUCAGUUGUUAUUUAAGCAGAAAAUGCUGUCAAAGUAGCUAAUUUUUUGAUAUGGUUGUCUUCUGUGUCAGUUAGUUGUAAAAACAAAUCACCCUAAAGCUUAAUGCCUUAAAACAAUUAUUGAUUUAGCUCACCCAGGUGGUUCUUGUGGUCAAGGCCAGGUUCAAAUGAUAUAGACUGAGCUUGCUCAUGGCCCUGAUAGGUCGAUUUG